UUUUAGUAGGGAGAAGCGAAAGUGACGGUACCUGCAGAAAAAGCACCGGCUAACUACGUGCCAGCAGCCGCGGUAAUACGUAGGGUGCAAGCGUUGUCCGGAAUUAUUGGGCGUAAAGAGCUCGUAGGCGGUUUGUCGCGUCUGCUGUGAAAACUGGAGGCUCAACCUCCAGCCUGCAGUGGGUACGGGCAGACUAGAGUGCGGUAGGGGAGAUUGGAAUUCCUGGUGUAGCGGUGGAAUGCGCAGAUAUCAGGAGGAACACCGAUGGCGAAGGCAGAUCUCUGGGCCGUAACUGACGCUGAGGAGCGAAAGCAUGGGGAGCGAACAGGAUUAGAUACCCUGGUAGUCCAUGCCGUAAACGUUGGGAACUAGAUGUGGGGGCCAUUCCACGGUCUCCGUGUCGCAGCUAACGCAUUAAGUUCCCCGCCUGGGGAGUACGGCCGCAAGGCUAAAACUCAAAGGAAUUGACGGGGGCCCGCACAAGCGGCGGAGCAUGCGGAUUAAUUCGAUGCAACGCGAAGAACCUUACCAAGGCUUGACAUAUACGAGAACGGGCCAGAGAUGGUCAACUCUUUGGACACUCGUAAACAGGUGGUGCAUGGUUGUCGUCAGCUCGUGUCGUGAGAUGUUGGGUUAAGUCCCGCAACGAGCGCAACCCUCGUUCUAUGUUGCCAGCACGUUAUGGUGGGAACUCAUAGGAGACUGCCGGGGUCAACUCGGAGGAAGGUGGGGAUGACGUCAAAUCAUCAUGCCCCUUAUGUCUUGGGCUUCACGCAUGCUACAAUGGCCGGUACAAAGGGCUGCAAUACCGUAAGGUGGAGCGAAUCCCAAAAAGCCGGUCUCAGUUCGGAUUGAGGUCUGCAACUCGACCUCAUGAAGUCGGAGUCGCUAGUAAUCGCAGAUCAGCAACGCUGCGGUGAAUACGUUCCCGGGCCUUGUACACACCGCCCGUCAAGUCAUGAAAGUCGGUAACACCCAACGCCAGUGGCCUAACCUUCGGGAGGGAG
rnacentral:rRNA from 1 species